UCAUCUAACAUUUAGUUUGUGGAAUGUUACGUUGGUAAAAGUAGUUUGCCCUCACUGUAGCAACAAAUUGCAAACAUUUGAAUUUAUGGCUGCCAGCUUGGCCUUUUCUUGGGUCAUGGAGGCAGUUAAAGUAUAUAAAUCAAUCUCUUUGUUUGCUAGAUGUUAAAACAUUUUAUCUUUUGCUGUAGUAACGCCAAACAGAUUCCAGGGACUGUUUUGGAAAGCAUUUACAAAGUGGAGCAGCUUAUUUUAUACACGCUGAUAGCAUCUUCUACCAAUAUAUAUAUAUAUCAAGUGAACUAUCUGAUUUCCAUCUAGAUCCUGCCAUUAUUCAUCCACCACCAUUUGAGUUGAUGUGCUUCAGUAUUUGACAAGAUUGCUUCCUGGGAUUCAUUGUAGGAGACAGAUAAUUCUUACUACACAAGGAUUAAUUUGAUAAACCUGGGCAGCCCUGCCUACUACAAGCAUGGCUUAUUUUUUAACUAUGUGUAUAUUUACAUCCCUUGAUCCUGGCCCUGGACACAAGUAAAAUGUUGCCGUCAUUAUCAAGGCCUGGCUCGGGAUACCGAAGAAGGAAGGAGACUGCAGAAAGUGGUGAACAUUGCCCUAUCCAUUACAGAACAUCACAUCCCGCUGCACAUCACUGAAUUCUGUCUUGUAUGCAAGAAAUCAACAAUUUUCAUAAUCAGAUGUAAACCAUCUUGUAGCAAAGGACCAAAUCAGAUGUGAAAAGAGGAAACCAAACCCAAGGAUUAAAAUGAACCACUUCAGACUUUUAACAUGCAUCGUUUAAACCGAAAGGCAAAUAUUGAAGAGGAUGGUGAAACCAAAUUCGAUCAAGUUUCAUGCAUUCAAAACUGGAAAGAUAAUACAAUUGAUUUGACAGAAAUUGACAUCAUGAAUAUAAUAUCCUACAACUUGGAACCACCAUAAGAGGUUAAAUAAAAUCAGUUGAAUAGAUUCAGGAAAUAACAGUUGCAUAUUUAUUGAUUGAGUGCAGACAUGAAUGAGUUAAUUGGAGGAUUAGAAAUCUUGGCCCAUAAAAAUUCUUAACUUUCUAUCAUUAAAAAAAAAAUCUGAUUAUUAAUGGUAGAUUCAUACAAUUUGCCAUGUUAACUUUUGGAAAAGGGAAGUAUUUUAGAUUACCUUGCGUGGGCCAAAGACCCAUCAUUUAUUUAUUUGCCUCUGUACUCCACAAUUUGAGAUUUGUAAUAGAAAAAUAAUAUGUGGUUAAAGUGCAUUGUUAGAUUUUAAUAAAGGCCAUUUUUAUACAUUUUCGUUUCAUCACGCAGAAAUUACAGCAGUGUUUAUACAAUGCAUUCAGAAAGUAUUCAGA